rnacentral:rRNA from 1 species
AGUGAACGCUGGCGGUAGGCCUAACACAUGCAAGUCGAACGGCAGCACAGUAAGAGCUUGCUCUUACGGGUGGCGAGUGGCGGACGGGUGAGGAAUACAUCGGAAUCUACUUUUUCGUGGGUGAUAACGUAGGGAAACUUACGCUAAUACCGCAUACGACCUACGGGUGAAAGCAGGGGAUCUUCGGACCUUGCGCGAUUGAAUGAGCCGAUGUCGGAUUAGCUAGCUGGCGGGGUAAAGGCCCACCAAGGCGACGAUCCGUAGCUGGUCUGAGAGGAUGAUCAGCCACACUGGAACUGAGACACGGUCCAGACUCCUACGGGAGGCAGCAGUGGGGAAUAUUGGACAAUGGGCGAAAGCCUGAUCCAGCCAUACCGCGUGGGUGUAGAAGGCCUUCGGGUUGUAAAGCAUUUUUGUUGGGAAAGAAAAGCAGCAGGUUAAUACCCCGCUGUUCUGACGGUACCAAAAGAAUAAGCACCGGCUAACUUCGUG